ensembl:lncRNA novel transcript
GCCCCAGCUCCGAGGCGCGGUCGCCGGAGCCGCCUGCCAACCGCCUUCAAGACUUCGACACGCUGGUCACCGUGGGUGACAACUAGAAGCCAUUUGUGUCAAGGUAACGUCUGGAGAAACAAAAGGUCAGGAAUGGCCAACGUCCCUACUGGCCACAGUCCAGCCCCAAUCUGCAAGACAGAGCCAGCCGCCCCGGGGGAAUUCCCGCCUGGUGGGACUCCACGUCACCAGCCCCCAGCUGCUCAGGGUACAGCCCCUCGUGAGAACCGAGCCACAGUCAUGUUUCCUACAUCAGCCUCCUGCUCAGGGGUUUGUACAGAGACCACUGCCAGCCCUCUAGGUGGUCCCUGCAAAGAGAGUCCCAGCCCCCAAGGCUCCAAAUGGACAGGGCACCAUGUUGACCCCUUCGUCGGCCUCCAGUUUGCCGACUGUAACAUGUUUCAUCCAGUUCAGGACGUUUAUUUAUUUCCAACUUGCAUACAAAACAUACUGAGAAACUAAAACCAUCGUUAAAAGUGAAGACACGUUGAGACAGGUAUCUCGACCUGCCAAGUAUAAAGCUAAAGCUGAGUUCAUAAAAAGGGAUGAUUUGGCCGACGGUCAUCUGCCAGAUUCUGAUGAUGAUUCAGAAGUCAGUGUGGAAGAAGAUCAGAGGGAGAGGCAGGCGCUCUUUGACUUAUCAAGCUGCUCCCUGAGGCCCAAAAGCUUCAAGUGUCAGACUUGUAAAAAGUCAUAUAUAGGGAAGUGGGGACUGGCCCAGCAUUUUAAACUUAAUCCAGGCCAUGGCCAGCUGGACCCUGAGAUGGUGCUAUCUGAGAAAGCCAAUGGGAGCACCCUCCGGGGGUGCACAGAGGAAAGGACGCUCAGCCUGACCUUCCCGGGGCUGUCCGUGCCAGCGGCUCCGCGUGAGGGAGGGGCCCGCUCCUGCUUGGUGAGAGAGUCAGCACGCGGUGGCCUGCAGAAAAACGUUGACCUCUUGGCGAGAAUGCAAAGAAGGGAACGCUUGCUUAUACGCUGUUGGUGAACUGUCACCCCUACAACUCAGCUUGCAACCAGCCCUGGCCACCAGUUUCCCCACACUGAGCUGAAUAUCGGACAUGCCCAUCUCAGACAUUCCAGCCCAUUCUGAAAUUCCACAUCGAUUCACCUGACAAAGUCUGAAGUUCCAGGGCAAUUUAUCUGGAAAAGCUUACCUGGAAUCACGUGUCAUUUCAACCAACAACUGUUGAAGAGGACGUGGCAUUAAAACCAAGGGUAUCAAUUAUUUAUAA